rnacentral:misc_RNA from 1 species
GUGCCCGUGAACCACGGAGCUCGUUCUGCGUAUAUCACAACCGAAAAACGCCUUCGGCACGCUGCCCCCCACCGUUGUGCCCUCACUGCCUUCCACAACGAACCGCUUCUUCGCCCAAAAAGCGGCGCCUCAAAACGAGCGUCUUGUGCGUUUCCCUCGAACACUGUGUUGGGUUUGUGCUAUUUCUUGCGUUGCCGGUCUGUUUUCUGUCUUGGUCUUCCGCGUAUCAUCUGAGCGGUAAGGAAGGAGUGCGCCGUCACUCACCCCACUAUCGCAUCCGCCCCUCGCCCCUCGCCCCCCCUCCCCCGUUCCCUCCUUCCCUCCGCUUCUGUGCCACGCCUCGGUCUCGUGUUUCCAGAAUCACCGAGCGCCAGGUCUUUGUGCGCGUUGCUCAGGGCCGAGAAAGACAGUUAAAAGAAAGCACUUGCCGACGAUUAGCGUGCUCUGCUCUCAGCGAGGAAGCGUGUGCGCAACGGAUUCGCGCACCCUGACACAUCUCACCAACUUUUAUUCUCCUCCGAGGUGCUGUUUUCCGUCAGGGAGCGAAGAGAAUAGAGGGACUCAACAAUACUGAAGGUGCCGUUGUGUACUAGCCCACCGCCAUCCCCCGACACGCUUGAGCGGCGGUCGUGGCCACCCUGGCUUUUUGUUUUUCUCUUUUGUGAGCUGCGCGGCGUCGACGCGCCAUGCGCUCGUUGCUGCUGCGCAGUUCGCCAAGGUUUGCCGCGGCGCAGGUGACGCCCCGUGCCGCCUAUGCGCUGUGCCUGCACACGCCUCACCGCUGCGUUUUCGUCCGUGAGCUCUCCACCCCGGCCACUCUCGAGAGUGGCGACAGCAGCGUUGCUCCUUUCCCUGCCCGCCUUCUCUGGCAGUUCAGCAGCAAGCGGCCGCGGCACCUCGUGCUCUGCGUGCGAGAACCUCUCCCCGCCGUGGCACCCCUCUCCCCGGAGAACACCUUUGAAGACUUGAGCGCUGCUGAAGCGGUGGGGGCAUCUGCAGCGCGGACGGUCGCAGUGGAUGGUGCGCCGCGUGCACAGGAGGACUUCAUGUACGGACGCCUGUUCCUGCGGCCCUACAACGUGGCACAGCUUUUGACAGUGUUGCAAGGCUGGUCCGAUUUGCCUGCCGUGGUGGAGCGACCGCGCUCCUCCUUGACGCUGAGCGCUGUGCCACCGUCGUCCACAUCCGAAAAACCGGCAAACAGCAGCAGCGUUGACGAGCGACCCAGGGAGGUGAUGCUGAAGGCUCGCGUGACGCGAAAGACAACCCUGGCAGCGCCCGGCGACUCGGGCAGGGCCGCCAUCCGAGGAGUUGCAGCCUACUCCACGGAUGCCGAUCCUGGUGCUGAGGAAGACCAACCCGACGCCGUCUACGUGGAUGGCGACAUGAGCACGCUGCAUGUGAUACUUCGCGACGCCGACCUUGUUCUGCUGACUACCCACCUCGAGAGCGUUUUGAGCGACCUCUUCGCCAUUGAGCACUGCAGCCGUAAGAUGGAGCGACGGAAAUCCUUUGGCUCACAGCGCAGCCGAGUGAGCCAUCGCACUGGCGCCAGGCCGAGCUCGUUCGAGAGGUCUUCGGCGAAGCAGCCGCAGUACCUCAGCGACCGGUGCGCGCCUGCUAAAAGAACCCACGGUAACAUGAUGGAAGAGGGUUACCAGAGCCGCCGUCGUCAGCGCGGUAACCGCGGUGGUAGUCGCCAUCACAGCGUCACCGCCGCUCCUGCGCAAGGAGAGUGGAGCCUAUUUGAAGCGGCACCUGCGAAAACUGCGCCAACGGCGGUCACCAACGAAGCGGAGGAUGACGAAUACCAGGAGAUCGUGGAGGAUGUGGAGGAGGCCGAGGACGGCGAGGACGACCACAAAGAUGCCACAGGGACUUGCAGUGGAGCCACGCCAUCGAGCCAAGCUGUGGCCUCCGCGGCCUCUGCUGCGUUCUCGACGUCGUACAUCACCACCCAUACGCGAGAACGAGGUAAGAUGACGAUGGAGUCGGCGGACCGCUAUGCCGAGGCUCGGUUCAUGCGUGAUGGCAGCGUGGCCGCGUCAGAAGUGGAGGAGGUGGGCCGCGUCGGUGAUUUCGAUGUGCGCCGCCGCACCCGUCAAGCGCAAGGGAGCACCGAGAAAGGCGACUCGCGAACGACGGUGCAUGCCACGGCGACCACCGGCGCAUUCCGCUCCACAAGCGGAGAGGUGACCGGGAGCUUCUCGUACGAGAGAUUGUCCACGACGACAGAGGCGACGUCUGCAACGACGGCUGCAGCAGCCGCUGCGGCGACUGCUGUUCCUCUACGUUGCGAGACCGCAGAGUGCGACAGCGAGGCAACCGCUACCAUCGACAUCACGGCAGUCGAAUCGCAGCCGAGUGCAGAAGUGGAUGACCGGAAACCUGGUGAGAGCGAGUUGCACGAGCGCCAAGUGGGGGAAGAGAAGAGUGCGGUGGCCGGGUCUGCCAAACCAACUCGCAAGCGGCAGGCCAGCGGCAGCGCUGCUGCGGCCGGCAAGAAGAAGGCAGCCAAGAGGAAGUCCAGGAAGGCGCCGGCGAAGCGGAAGGCCGCGCCCUCUAACACCGCCUCUGUAUCCGCGCCCCAAGGAACGGCCGAGUUUGCAGACACUAGGGUACUCUAGGCUGCCGUUGCGCUGUUGUGCCUAGCGGGUCGCAUUCAUGAUAAGUCGCCUGCAACUGUCUGUGAGCGUGUGUGCAGUUGCCUGCCCUGCUGUAGAAUCGGCUGUGGCAGGAGGCACCCGAGCAACGAAAAAGGGAGGGGGGGAUGUUGUGCGUAUACACCACAGCCACGAUAUACAGGCGCUUCUAGCUGAAGUGCUGUAUCGCACGGGACUUCUACCUUUUUACAGAG